AGCCUGUGAUGAGCUGCCGUACUUCUGACACCUCGUAUGACAACUGCGCUCGCAGUCUGAUUAUCCGCACGCUACUGAGGCUU
rfam:Mustela putorius furo unplaced genomic scaffold scaffold00028, whole genome shotgun sequence.